AUGCCCGGUCCAGGCUGAUCACCCCAACACCUGGGGAAGGGGAGGUCACCACAAGGCCCCAUCCUGAGCCCCCCAAGACCCACUACCUCCUGGGCUCACCCAUGAGCGGCACGAUGGCUGCAGUGAAGACGCUGCUGCUCUGGAGCAGGAAGGUCAGGCCAGCGCCCACGAGGAUUGCCAGGUCCCAGAUCCCAGGGACGGGACGCCCCCCACCUGCGUUGAUGACACUCCUCACAGCCUGGGCUAUGCGGCCUUGCAGCAGGGAGUUGAGCAGCUUGACGAUGAGGACCAGGCAGAGGCACAGCACCAGCAGGGAGCCCGCCAGCAGGAUGCAGCCCACCGCCAGCUGGAGCAGGCUCAGACCUUCCUUGGCCCCUGUCCAGGGCAGGGCCUCCACCUCCUUCCCUUCAGUGGCCAGGCCCAUGGGCCUCCUGAGGAUAUGGCCAUUCUCACCUGCACAAUGAGGUGUGUGAGAGGC